rnacentral:rRNA from 1 species
UACGUAGGGUGCGAGCGUUAAUCGGAAUUACUGGGCGUAAAGGGUGCGCAGGCGGUCUCGUAAGCUGGGUGUGAAAGCCCCGGGCUUAACCUGGGAAUGGCAUUCAGGACUGCGAGGCUUUGAGUGUGGCAGAGGGAGGUGGAAUUCCACGUGUAGCAGUGAAAUGCGUAGAGAUGUGGAGGAACACCGAUGGCGAAGGCAGCCUCGUGGGCCAGCACUGACGCUCAUGCACGAAAGCGUGGGGAGCAAACAGG